GAUGAAGAACGCAGCGAAAUGCGAUAAGUAAUGUGAAUUGCAGAAUUCAGUGAAUCAUCGAAUCUUUGAACGCAUCUUGCGCUCCUUGGUAUUCUGAGGAGCAUGCCUGUUUGAGUGUCAUUAAAUUCUCAACUACACUGACUUUGAAUUGGUGUGGCUUGGAUUUGGGGGGAAAGUUGUUGUGGGCUUUUUGUAUAGUCUGCUCCCCUGAAAUUGAUUAGCGGUACCUUUGUGGAACUGUCUACAGGUGUGAUAAUUAUCUACAUCUUAGACAUCUGCUGGAAUGCUGCUUUCUAAACCUUACUUGUAUUGACAAUCUUGACCUCAAAUCAGGUAGGACUACCCGCUGAACUUAAGCAUAUCAAUAAGCGGAGGA
rnacentral:misc_RNA from 1 species